rnacentral:rRNA from 1 species
CGAAAGCCUGACGGAGCAAGACCGCGUGGGGGAGGAAUGCCUUAGGGUUGUAAACCCCUUUUAUCUGGGAAGAACAAAAUGACGGUACCAGAUGAAUAAGCCUCGGCUAACUCCGUGCCAGCAGCCGCGGUAAUACGGAGGAGGCAAGCGUUAUCCGGAAUGAUUGGGCGUAAAGCGUCCGCAGGUGGCAAUGUAAGUCUGCUGUCAAAACCCAGGGCUCAACUCUGGUCAGGCAGUGGAAACUGAAUAGCUAGAGUGCCGUAGGGGUAGAGGGAAUUCCCGGUGUAGCGGUGAAAUGCGUAGAGAUCGGGAAGAACAUCGGUGGCGAAAGCGCUCUACUGGACGGCAACUGACACUCAGGGACGAAAGCUAGGGGAGCG